AAAGUGUGAUAAGCAAUGCGAAUUGCAGAAUUCCGCGAGUCAUCAGAUUCUUGAACGCAAAUGGCGCUGGAAGGAUCUCCUUCUAGCAUGUCUGUUUCAGUGUCUGAAAACAUCCAAACAAAGAUAUAUAUUCAAUAUACCUAACUUAAUGUGUCUGACUCAAGGAUUCAUCUUCUUGUGUCUUACAUUAAUGCAUGUAUGUGCGGAUCUUUGGGUCCAUCGAAUUGGUCACUGAGACAUAUUUCAGUGAUUUCGAUGCGAUAAUAAUACUCAAUUAUCCAUAUGCACAUAGAACACAUUUAAACAUAACUACAUCAAAUUUGCAUCUGAAAUCAGGCAAGAACACCCGCUGAACUUAA
rnacentral:misc_RNA from 1 species